rnacentral:lncRNA from 1 species
CUACGUAGUGUCUAAAAGAGUCGUCUAAAAAAUUGUACAUUUUCCGACGUUACAUGAACGACUCUGACUGAUUUGUCAUUUGAGAGGCGGACUUUUUGACCAUUAAGUUAUAGCGUGUUUUAAACGAUUUUGAAUGAUAAUAAUACAUUGUGUUUGAACAAUCCUCAUAGAUCCAGGUUUUCGUAAAAUAAAAAGGAACCAAAGAACAUCCCUACACUUGAAAAUAGGAAAGUAAACAAAUAUAAAUAGAAAAGCUCGUUUCAAAUAAAAAUAAACUCCUGAAAAGUGACAUUAUAUUAUAUAAAAAAAUUGGGAAACAACAGAUGGUAAAAUCUUAAUCACUAUUUUAAAAAGACCAAAUAAACAAAAACCAAAAAGCGAUAAUGUCAACAAAGAAAACAAUAUGAGUUUGAUCUGAAAAUAAAGAUUAAGUGAUUGGGCAAGGUUAAUAGUUUAUAGAUAUAGGAAGAUGUGGUGUGAGUGCCAAUGAGACAACUCUCCAUUCAAAUAACAAUUUAUAAAAGUAA